rnacentral:lncRNA from 1 species
CCGCAGGGUAGGCAGCAUCCGUGGGGAGCGCGGCAUUUGUGGGGCGCACAGUAUCUGAGAGGAGCGCAGCGUCCGCGAGGAGCCCGGUAUCUCUGAGGAGCGCCGCAUCCGAGGGGCACGAAGUACCUGCUGGAUGUCUGGCAUCCGCGGUAUCCUCCACAUCAAGUGUGUGCUGGUCCAUUACCACGGUCGCUAUAACUUCUUCAAAGCCACAGUUUGAAGACUUCCACCUCACAGACUCAUCAUCCAUGUCACCAGGGAACUGGAAUCCUGACUCAGCUGAAAGUAACUCCACUCAGCCAUCUUUCUCUCCUGCAGAGCCUGAAGGUACCCACAGUAUACGGAGCAAAAAGUGUCUCCAUGAUAUUUAUGGGAAGACGGAAUGCAAGAAGGGUGAGAAAAAAGAAAAGGAAGGAACAGGGAUGGAGAGCCCAGGAAGAUUGGCCUGGAAGAUGUGACCCACCUCCCAUGUCUGCAGCUAUGCUCACCAACCUGUGUGAAGAUCUGUGAAGUCCUAGUCUGCCCUGCUCUGUGAUAUGUGCAUAUCUUUAGUGACUUGGGCAGCCCCUCCUUGGCCGUGAGCCACAUGUGGCACCACCUUUUGGCCAUUUGCCCACUAGUGCCACCUCCUUCCAUCGCCAAAGCAGUGGGAUCACUGGAUUUGCAUUUGGCUACCAGAUGUUGCAGGAAGGAAUUGAAGAGACAGACACAACUCAGCACCAACUCUACCCUUAU